rnacentral:rRNA from 1 species
AGUGAACGCUGGCGGUAGGCCUAACACAUGCAAGUCGAACGGCAGCACAGUAAGAGCUUGCUCUUACGGGUGGCGAGUGGCGGACGGGUGAGGAAUACAUCGGAAUCUACUUUUUCGUGGGGGAUAACGUAGGGAAACUUACGCUAAUACCGCAUACGACCUACGGGUGAAAGCAGGGGAUCUUCGGACCUUGCGCGAUUGAAUGAGCCGAUGUCGGAUUAGCUAGUUGGCGGGGUAAAGGCCCACCAAGGCGACGAUCCGUAGCUGGUCUGAGAGGAUGAUCAGCCACACUGGAACUGAGACACGGUCCAGACUCCUACGGGAGGCAGCAGUGGGGAAUAUUGGACAAUGGGCGCAAGCCUGAUCCAGCCAUACCGCGUGGGUGAAGAAGGCCUUCGGGUUGUAAAGCCCUUUUGUCGGGAAAGAAGAGCAGCAGGUUAAUACCCCGCUGUUCUGACGGUACCCAAAGAAUAAGCACCGGCUAACUUCGUG